GAAGGUCCCUCGUCCAUUCGUUUCUUUUAGUAAGUGCUAAGUGCGUGUUUAUUUAAUUCUUGAAUUUUUUCACAUUUUUACUGUUUAAUAUGUUCUAUUUUUGUUCAUUAGGGUUCAGGAGUAUGCAGUGAUAUAUUCGACUACUAACUUUUCCUAAUUCUCCCCCCUUUUUGUGUUUUUGUUUUUCUUAUAGUUUAUAUAUAGGAGGGGUAGAUCGCAAUCUAGUGGCUUCUCUUGGACUUCUUUUGUAUAGGUAGUUCUUAUUUUUCCCUAAUAAGAAAAAUGCUCUCUUUUAAUGUUAUGUGUUUUUAGCUUUGGUUUUGAAUUUGUUUAACUUGAUUUAUUCGUUGUUCUGAUUUAUUAGCUCGUUUUGCACUAUUUCUUGCUUCUCUAUAUUUGGAAUCUCCUCUGUGGGUCUCACUGGUUUCUUUCUUCAGUGUUGUGAUGAUGAUUCAUAAGUGUGAAUGACAUUGUGCAAGACAAUGUAAUUGACCUUAUCAAUUGGUAUGAGGAUGAGGGUAGAAGAAAAGCAAAAUGAUUUUGCUAAGUAUUCACUGUCGUUUCUGGUACACUAACCUUGCAAAGCACUAGUUCCACAUUGGAAAAAAGAAAAUCAGGCUGCUGAGUCUAAGCCUUAAAAGAUUCUGGUGUUUUCUCUAUGGAAUUGCUUUUAUACAGAAAGAAAUGCCUCACAUAAAUCCCAAUUUGUAUUGCGACUAAUUGUUUUAAUUUUGGAUUUUCCUUCUGUAUGGAGCCAGCUGUAACUCAGGAUGUUUAACCUUUUUUUUUUUCCUGUUUUAGGUUUAUGUGCUUCAAUAUUUAGCAUACGUUUAAUUAGUUUCAUGGUCCUUUAGGACUAAGCAUUGGUCAUCGUUUCUAUUACUGCUGCUGCGAAAAGAUUCUUGACUAUUGGAUAUGGUACCUUGUGGAGGUCUCUCUAAGAAGUGCUUAUUUUGGUUGCACGGUAAUUCCAAAUCUUCAAAGUUGGUAGAAUGGGCUGUUAUGAAUAUAAAGGUUUAAAGAGAAGGUUGGUAUACAGUGUUCAUAUUUACAAGAUACUUUUUAUGGUUAAAAUUAAAUUCGUAGAAGUCUAUUUCAUCAAGCACAUAUAUUAUCACAAAUAAUCUUAUUGAAGCUAAAGGGAAAAAAAAAAAAAAAAAACAUCUAAGCUUUUGAAUAUGGCAUGCUUGGUACUUCAGACCACAUGCAAGUGCAAGGAUCAAAUACUUCAGCUGACUGAAGAGGACUCAAUCCACCUCGUCCACGAGUAGCACCUCCAACAGCGUAAAGUUUAUUGUUCGAGACACUAGUCUUACAAUAUGCUCUGGCAAUAGACAUAGGAGUCACUUCACUCCAACAAUUUACAAUUGGAUCAUAAUGCCAGAUGCAGUUCAGGGCCGCAGCCCCACAAAAUCCACCCAAGACAUAGAGGCAGCCAUCAACAGAUCCAAUUGAACAACCACAGCAUCUAAUCUUGUCAAAUGCAUUCUUUGUUCCAAACCAUUCCCUAAUAGAAUCCUCAAUUUUAAUAUUUGAAGCAACCACAUUCCACAGACGAAUGCUCGAUAAGCCCCUUCUAGUUCCAUCUUCAACAGAAACUUUUGGCACUGGAGGCAACCUUUGCCAUGUCCUUGACACUAUUAUGCUUUUAAUUGAUAUUGCAGAUUACUUUUUUAACAUGUGAUAUUUUUACAUAUUCAUAUUGUGAUGAAAUAUUGAAUAUUUUGAAUUUGUUAAAUUCUCUAACCUUAAUUUCUUUUGACAUUGCAAAAUUUUAUUCUAUCUCUAGGGAUUUUAUUUCGAACCAGCUGAUAACGCAAUAUAUUUUAUAUGGUGUUUCUUUAUACUUGUAAGAUAUUUGUUAAGUUUCAAAAAUAAUUUUAUUUAUCUUUUAUAUUCAUGUUGUAUACUUAGAAGUCAAUUAAAAAAUCUUCUAAAAGUUCUAAACAUCGAAGUACUGCGAUUGUUGUAGCAAUUCCAUAGACCAAUAAAAGACUAAGAGUUUCUAGUGAAGCAGAAAAUACUAUAUCUACUCCAAUUAUCGAUGAGUAAAACCCAUCCCGUCAAAUGCAAAUGCUCCUAAGAAGAAAAGAGGUCCAACCCAAGUGAUGGUUCCUGAACAUAAUUAUAAGAAAAUAGAACUUGAACUCAAUGAAUUUGGGCAAGUAGUUGUCGGUAACUCCGAUAAAUUUGCUAUUGUUGUUGGAGCCAUGGUACGAGAACAUGUACCUAUUACAAUUAAAGACUGGCAUUCAGUGGAUGAAAAGAAAAAAAUGGAACUUUGGACUUUCAUACAGGUACAUCUCUUAACUAACUUUUUACGAUUUUUUGACACCAUUCUUUUAAGUUAUAAAAUAUAUUUGUGCACAGAUGUAGCAAAGGUUCGAUAUCAAUGAUUGUCAUAAAAUAAUGACAUUUCAAUAUAUGGGAAAGUAUUAGAUGACAUUCAAAUCACAAAUUGAGAAAAGAAAUCAGAACUGAAAUAGCAACAUCUGUUAAUAGAACACGAACCAUUGCCCUCCUUGGACCAAAGAAUGUAAAUCAUGAAGAAGCAAUGGAAAAGUUUCUCAAAGAUACUCUUUCUGUUGACUUCGAAGUAAGAAAUAUUUGCUUAUUAAUGUUAAAUUUUUAUUUAGUUGUUUCUAUUUUUAUUGUUUUGUUUUCUUAAUGGGAAAAAAGUUCCAAGUUCGGGAAAAUGAGAAAGGGUCAAAAGCUUCCUCACACUUUGGGUCGAAAUGCUUUUUCACGUACGGCUCAUGAGAUGGUACAAUUACACACCUAUCUUGUCUGGUUAGGAAUGGAGUUUCAUUUCUUCUUAGUUAUAGGUAUUACACACCAUUGUUGAUUUCCUUCAAGUAUUCAUUACGUAAUUACUGGAUUUAUAUUGUAGAGAAAAAAGAAUCCGGGCUUAAAGGGGUUAAGAACUAGAGUAUGGAUGCAUGGACAUCUUAGAAAUGAUGGUAAACCGAUAAAUGAAGCAGUCACCGCAACUUUGGCACAUGUAUUCUUUCAAUGUAUAUGAUUUAUUAUACGUAUUCAAAGCUAGUAUCUAAUCUGAGUUCCAUAAGUGCAGAAAAGGAUAGAAGAUUGUGCCCAAUCAAUUUCUGAUACACCAGCAGAAAAUUCCAUCCACAAUGAUGCUGUUGCUCGAAUUUUAGGUCCUGAACAUCGUGAAAGAGUUAGAGGACUUGGAUUUGUAGUUUCACCAUCGAAAGUGGAUGGACAAUUCAAAUUAAUGGGAGAGUGAGAGAACUUGAUGAAAAGGUUGGAGCACUAGAAGAAAGGUUGAAGCACUUCUUAAAUUAUCUCAACAGGUUAUAAACUUUUAUCAUCAUAUAUAUACAAUGAUAAUAUAGCUUAGCAUAACUCAAUAUGGAGAAUAAUUUUUUAAUUUUUGUAUCAUUUACAGAAUCAAAACAAGAAUGUAGACGACUUGAGUUCACGUGCUUUUACUCAGGUUUUUGUAUCUUACAUAUUAUUUUGUAUUCACUAUAAACAUAGAAUAUAGCAUAUACUAAUUUAUUUUACUUUGAUUUUGUAGUCACAACAAGGAAGUGGUAUCUAUGGAGGGAUUGCACAUACGGAACAUGCAAGGUUUCAACUGUUGCAUUGGUGCAUAUUUAAAGAGGAAGAAAUUGUAGUUGAAGGAAGGAUUGCAUCAAUAGACCCAAGUGCAAAGGUCAUCACAUACCAAUCGGACGAGAUUGUUGGACUGUUUGGGUUGAGGAAGUGCAUAUGGGCCAUUUGAACUUAUGUAGACCUACUGAUGAAUUUUGAGUGCUUAGAGAAGCCAUAGGAAGUAUAGUUGUUUGGCUAAAGAGCAGUAUUAGACUUAUUUAACAAGGUAUGUAAUGCAUUUCUGCAUUUUUGUUUCUGUGUGUAAUAUCUGUACUUGCUAGGAAAAAAUGGUUUGAUGGAUGAAAAACAAGCACACUCCGGUGUGGUUUAGAGGCUUACUUGGGUGUAAGCCUCUGGAAAUUGAGGCAUAAGUCCUGACCAAUAGCACAUAAGGUGUAAAAUUUGGAGGGCAACCAAAAUAUGCUCAAUAUCUUUGUUGUUCACUUCACUCUUUCCUCUCAGAGUUUCUAGCAAAUAAUGUAUCAGAAGAUUACGAGAACCAUAUUUUGCACCCG
rnacentral:lncRNA from 1 species